rnacentral:rRNA from 1 species
UACGAAGGGGGCUAGCGUUGUUCGGAAUCACUGGGCGUAAAGGGCGCGUAGGCGGCUGUUCAAGUCGGGGGUGAAAUCCCGUGGCUCAACCACGGAAUGGCCUUCGAUACUGGACGGCUCGAGACCGGAAGAGGUGAGUGGAACUGCGAGUGUAGAGGUGAAAUUCGUAGAUAUCGGAGAACACCAGUGGCGAAGGCGGCGACCUGG